rnacentral:rRNA from 1 species
UACAGGGGGGGCAAGCGCUGUUCGGAAUCACUGGGCGUAAAGGGCGCGUAGGCGGCCGAUCAAGUCGGGGGUGAAAGCCUGUGGCUCAACCACAGAAUUGCCUUCGAUACUGUUUGGCUUGAGACCGGAAGAGGUAAGUGGAACUGCGAGUGUAGAGGUGAAAUUCGUAGAUAUUCGUAAGAACACCAGUGGCGAAGGCGGCUUACUGGUCCGGUUCUGACGCUGAGGCGCGAAAGCGUGGGGAGCAAACAGG